rnacentral:rRNA from 1 species
GAUGAACGCUGGCGGCGUGGAUUAGGCAUGCAAGUCGAACGGUAUCAUCCUUUCGGGGGUGAGAGAGUGGCGAACUGGUGAGUAACACGUAGGUUAUCUACCCUCAAGACGGGGACAACCCAGGGAAACUUGGGCUAAUACCGGAUGUGAGCAACUUUUAGUUGUUUGAAAGGUGGCGUAAGCUGUCGCUUGGGGAUGAGCCUGCGUCCUAUUAGUUAGUUGGUGAGGUAACGGCUCACCUAGGCAAUGAUAGGUAGGCGGCCUUAACGGGUGGUCGCCCACACUGGGAUUGAGAUACGGCCCAGACUCCUACGGGAGGCAGCAGUCGAGAAUAGUCUACAAUGGUCGGAAGACUGAUAGUGCGACGCCGCGUGAACGAUGAAUCCCUUCGGGGUUAAAGGUUCUUUUAUAUGUGAGCAGUGCUUCUUAUAUUAACAGUAUGGGGAGAGAGAUAUUAGCAUAUGAAUAAGCAACGGCUAACUCCGUGCCAGCAGCCGCGGUAA